rnacentral:rRNA from 1 species
CUUUAUCACCGAGUGCUUGCACUCACCGAUAAAGAGUUGAGUGGCGAACGGGUGAGUAACACGUGGGCAACCUGCCCAAAAGAGGGGGAUAACACUUGGAAACAGGUGCUAAUACCGCAUAACCAUAGUUACCGCAUGGUAACUAUGUAAAAGGUGGCUAUGCUACCGCUUUUGGAUGGGCCCGCGGCGCAUUAGCUAGUUGGUGGGGUAAAGGCUUACCAAGGCAAUGAUGCGUAGCCGAACUGAGAGGUUGAUCGGCCACAUUGGGACUGAGACACGGCCCAAACUCCUACGGGAGGCAGCAGUAGGGAAUCUUCCACAAUGGGCGAAAGCCUGAUGGAGCAACGCCGCGUGGGUGAAGAAGGUCUUCGGAUCGUAAAACCCUGUUGUUAGAGAAGAAAGUGCGUGAGAGUAACUGUUCACGUUUCGACGGUAUCUAACCAGAAAGCCACGGCUAACUACGUGCCAGCAGCCGCGGUAAUACGUAGGUGGCAAGCGUUAUCCGGAUUUAUUGGGCGUAAAGGGAACGCAGGCGGUCUUUUAAGUCUGAUGUGAAAGCCUUCGGCUUAACCGGAGUAGUGCAUUGGAAACUGGGAGACUUGAGUGCAGAAGAGGAGAGUGGAACUCCACGUGUAGCGGUGAAAUGCGCAGAUAUAUGGAAGAACACCAGUGGCGAAAGCGGCUCUCUGGUCUGUAACUGACGCUG